rnacentral:rRNA from 1 species
CCUACGGGUGGCAGCAGUGAGGAAUAUUGGUCAAUGGACGAGAGUCUGAACCAGCCAAGUAGCGUGAAGGAUGAAUGCCCUAUGGGUUGUAAACUUCUUUUAUAUGGGAAUAAAAUGUUCCACGUGUGGGAUUUUGUAUGUACCAUAUGAAUAAGGAUCGGCUAACUCCGUGCCAGCAGCCGCGGUAAUACGGAGGAUCCGAGCGUUAUCCGGAUUUAUUGGGUUUAAAGGGAGCGUAGGUGGAUUGUUAAGUCAGUUGUGAAAGUUUGCGGCUCAACCGUAAAAUUGCAGUUGAAACUGGCAGUCUUGAGUACAGUAGAGGUGUGCGGAAUGCGUGGUGUAGCGGUGAAAUGCUUAGAUAUCACGAAGAACUCCGAUUGCGAAGGCAGUUCACUGGACUGCAACUGACACUGAGGCUCGAAAGUGUGGGUAUCAAACAGGAUUAGAUACCCUAGUAGUC